ACAACUUUUAGAGUGGGGUUACGCCCUUUCCUGCUAACAAGGAAAGCCAGGGGAAAGAUUCUUGGGACUUCAGCUGUUAAAGCCAGUUUAGUUAUA
rnacentral:tRNA from 1 species